AAGGGUAUAGCUCAGUUGGUAAAGCUUGUGCCUAGCAGGCACAAGGUCCUGGGUUCAAUCCCCAGUACCUCCA
rnacentral:tRNA from 1 species